rnacentral:rRNA from 1 species
AUACGGAGGAUCCGAGCGUUAUCCGGAUUUAUUGGGUUUAAAGGGUGCGCAGGCGGCCAUUUAAGUCAGCGGUUAAAUCGUGGGGCUCAACCCCAUUCUGCCGUUGAUACUGGGUGGCUUGAUUGCGGUCGAGGUUGGCGGAAUUCGUUGUGUAGCGGUGAAAUGCAUAGAUAUGACGAAGAACACCGAUUGCGUAGGCAGCUGACCAGACCGCAAAUGACGCUCAUGCACGAAAGUGCGGGGAUCGAACAGGAUUAGAUACCCUGGUAGUCCGCACAGUAAACGAUGAAUGCUUGUUUACGGCGAUAUAAUGUCGGAGGCAAAGCGAAAGCGAUAAGUAUUCCACCUGGGGAGUACGCCGGCAACGGUGAAACUCAAAGGAAUUGACGGGG